GACGAACCGUGCGAACGUUGUUCGGAUUCACUGGGCUUAAAGGGCGCGUAGGCGGCUUGCCAAGUCAGGGGUGAAAUCUUUCGGCUCAACCGGAAAACAGCCCCUGAUACUGGCGGGCUGGAGGGAGGUAGGGGCGGAUGGAACUUCCGGUGGAGCGGUGAAAUGCGCAGAUAUCAGGAGGAACACCGGUGGCGAAGGCGGGUCUCUGGGCAGUAACUGACGCUGAGGAGCGAAAGCGUGGGGAGCGAACAGG
rnacentral:rRNA from 1 species